AUACAUUUCAAUUGACUUCUGUUGGAUUCCGAGUAAAGCGAAGAAGUCAUUAGUUUCACUGCAAUGUAUUUUUUCUCGGAAAAUACGUUUUCAGUUAGUAAAAAAAAAUUGUUCAAAUUGUUCACGUAGUUGCACGACCUUAAAAAGAUGUACGUAAUAUUUCACCCGAUGGAAAUAUUUUGUUUGAAAAAUUUGUCUACCUUCACAACAGUUUUUCUUAAAUAAUGAAACAAAUGGUUUAUGGAUUUUCGACUCAAAGUCGUAUUCUGAUCACAGUGAUUAAUCAAUGACGAUCGUUGCAUUCAGUAUAUUAACUAAAAUAUCCUAAAUCCUAUACGAUUGUUCACCUUUCCACAUGAAACAGCGUCCUACGUUCGGAUUUUUUAUGUUCACA